AAUUCGGGCGCGGAUUUCGGAUUUUGACUGCUUUGACGGUCGAAUUUCGGAUUUUAAAUAAAUUUCAAUCGAUGCUAUUGUUUAUCUGUCAAACCAUGCGGAUCUAAAAACUUCUGCGGUUCCACGGAUUUGCUCCGAAAAUAUUGCGGAUCGGCGGAUUUACAUACCCCUAUUCACCCCCCCUAAGAACAUGCUUAUAUUUUGUUAGUGUUUUGCGUUCUAAAAUGCAGAAUAUAUAAUUGUGUUCUUAAUAACAACCACGAUAUAUGAUUAAAUCUAUUACAUAGGUAAUUUGUUGAAAAAGCAGUCGUAAGUCGUCGUAGGCUUUUCGAUGAGGCACGUUCUUUCAGCGCAUCAAAAAUCGGCAGCUGCCCGGGAGCACUUUUUGGCCAUCGAAGAAAGCAAAGAGAAUUCCAAAAAAGACGUACACUCCAAGAAAUGACGGACAAUGAAGUAAUAGAGCGCUUCCGGUUGUCGAGAGAGGGCAUCUUGUGGCUCAUCGAUACUAUAUUUACAGCGAGAGUGCCGAGACACAGGGUUCUAUUGUAUGUUCUUACUUACCCGUCCUGGUCGAGUUCGCAGUGCCUCCGAGCCAUCCCCUAGACGGCGCAAACACAGCCACCAGCCCCACGGACUCGGCAGACACCUUGCCGUUACACUUAGGCAUCCCCGUCGUGGUCCCCCCGCAACACGUAC